AUCCAGCUGACGAGUGCCAAACAGGAUGAAACACGCGUCCUGAAU
rnacentral:hammerhead_ribozyme from 1 species